rnacentral:ncRNA from 1 species
UACCUGGUUGAUCCUGCCAGUAGUCAUAUGCUUGUCUCAAAGAUUAAGCCAUGCAAGUCUAAGUACGAGCUCUCGUACAGUGAAACUGCGAAUGGCUCAUUAAAUCAGUUAUGGUUCAUUUGAUCGUACAGUUUACUUGGAUAACUGUGGUAAUUCUAGAGCUAAUACAUGCGAGAAGCGCCGACCUCGCGGGAGGCGUGCAUUUAUCAGACCAAAAACCGGCCGCGUCUUCGGGCGCGUUCGCCUUGGUGACUCUGGAUAACUUUGCGGAUCGCACGGUCUAGCACCGGCGACGGAUCAUUCAAGUGUCUGCCCUAUCAACUUUCGUCGGUACGGUAUUUGCCUACCGAGGUUCUUACGGGUGACGGGGAAUCAGGGUUCGAUUCCGGAGAGGGAGCCUGAGAAACGGCUACCACAUCCAAGGAAGGCAGCAGGCGCGCAAAUUACCCAUUCCCGACGCGGGGAGGUAGUGACGAAAAAUAACAAUGCAGGACUCGUUCGAGGCCCUGUAAUUGGAAUGAGUACACUUUAAAAGCUUUAACGAGUAUCCAUUGAAGGGCAAGUCUGGUGGCCCCAGCCCCGGGUAAUUUCCGCUUCAAAAGUUUAUUUUUAAGUUGUUGGCGUUUAAAAAGCUCGUAUUUGGAUUUUGGGCCCCGG